UACGUAGGGUGCAAGCGUUAAUCGGAAUUACUGGGCGUAAAGCGUGCACAGGCGGUUAUGCAAGACAGAGGUGAAAUCCCCGGGCUCAACCUGGGAACUGCCUUUGUGACUGCAUAGCUAGAGUACGGCAGAGGGGGAUGGAAUUCCGCGUGUAGCAGUGAAAUGCGUAGAUAUGCGGAGGAACACCGAUGGCGAAGGCAAUCCCCUGGGCCUGUACUGACGCUCAUGCACGAAAGCGUGGGGAGCAAACAGG
rnacentral:rRNA from 1 species